AGAGUUUGAUCCUGGCUCAGAACGAACGCUGGCGGCAGGCUUCAUACAUGCAAGUCGAGCGGAAAGGCCCCUUCGGGGGUACUCGAGCGGCGAACGGGUGAGUAACAGGUGGAUAAUCUGCCUUUCGGUGGGGGAUAACGGCUGGAAACGGCCGCUAAUACCGCAUGCGAUUGUCGGGCCACAAGGUCUGGCAAGGAAUGGGGCAAUUGCCUCGCCGAAAGAUGAGUCCGCCUCCCAUUAGCUAGUUGGUGAGAUAAUAGCCCACCAAGGCUUCGAUGGGUAGCCGAGCUGAGAGGUUGAUCGGCCACACUGGAACUGAGACACGGUCCAGACACCUACGGGUGGCAGCAGUAGGGAAUAUUGCGCAAUGAGCGAAAGCUUGACGCAGCCAUGCCGCGUGGAUGACGAAGGCCUUCGGGUCGUAAAGUCCUUUUCUGAGGGAAGAACAAGCUGGGGAGUGGAAAGCCCCGGCCUUGACGGUACCUCAGGAAUAAGCAACGGCUAACUCCGUGCCAGCAGCCGCGGUAAUACGGAGGUUGCAAGCGUUGUUCGGAAUCACUGGGCGUAAAGCGCGUGUAGGCGGUUCGGCAAGUCGGCUGUGAAAGCCCGAGGCUCAACCUCGGAACUGCAGCCGAAACUGCCGGGCUAGAGUUCCGGAGAGGGUGGCGGAAUUUCCGGUGUAGAGGUGAAAUUCGUAGAUAUCGGAAGGAACACCAGAGGCGAAGGCGGCCACCUGGACGGUAACUGACGCUGAGACGCGAAAGCGUGGGUAGCAAACA
rnacentral:rRNA from 1 species